rnacentral:rRNA from 1 species
GGUAGAGCACUGUUUCGGCUAGGGGGCCAUCCCGGCUUACCAACCCGAUGCAAACUACGAAUACCGAAGAAUGUUAUCACGGGAGACACACGGCGGGUGCUAACGUCCGUCGUGAAGAGGGAAACAACCCAGACCGCCAGCUAAGGUCCCAAAGUCAUGGUUAAGUGGGAAACGAUGUGGGAAGGCCCAGACAGCCAGGAUGUUGGCUUAGAAGCAGCCAUCAUUUAAAGAAAGCGUAAUAGCUCACUGGUCGAGUCGGCCUGCGCGGAAGAUGUAACGGGGCUAAACCAUGCACCGAAGCUGCGGCAGCGACGCUUAUGCGUUGUUGGGUAGGGGAGCGUUCUGUAAGCCGUUGAAGGUGGCCUGUGAGGGCUGCUGGAGGUAUCAGAAGUGCGAAUGCUGACAUAAGUAACGAUAAAGCGGGUGAAAAGCCCGCUCGCCGGAAGACCAAGGGUUCCUGUCCAACGUUAAUCGGGGCAGGGUGAGUCGACCCCUAAGGCGAGGCCGAAAGGCGUAGUCGAUGGGAAACAGGUUAAUAUUCCUGUACUUGGUGUUACUGCGAAGGGGGGACGGAGAAGGCUAUGUUAGCCGGGCGACGGUUGUCCCGGUUUAAGCAUGUAGGCGGAGGUUCCAGGUAAAUCCGGUACCUUUUAACGCUGAGGUGUGAUGACGAGGCACUACGGUGCUGAAGUAACAAAUGCCCUGCUUCCAGGAAAAGCCUCUAAGCAUCAGGUAACACGAAAUCGUACCCCAAACCGACACAGGUGGUCAGGUAGAGAAUACCAAGGCGCUUGAGAGAACUCGGGUGAAGGAACUAGGCAAAAUGGUGCCGUAACUUCGGGAGAAGGCACGCUGAUAUGUAGGUGAAGCCCCUGCGGGUGGAGCUGAAAUCAGUCGAAGAUACCAGCUGGCUGCAACUGUUUAUUAAAAACACAGCACUGUGCAAACACGAAAGUGGACGUAUACGGUGUGACGCCUGCCCGGUGCCGGAAGGUUAAUUGAUGGGGUUAGCGGUAACGCGAAGCUCUUGAUCGAAGCCCCGGUAAACGGCGGCCGUAACUAUAACGGUCCUAAGGUAGCGAAAUUCCUUGUCGGGUAAGUUCCGACCUGCACGAAUGGCGUAAUGAUGGCCAGGCUGUCUCCACCCGAGACUCAGUGAAAUUGAACUCGCUGUGAAGAUGCAGUGUACCCGCGGCAAGACGGAAAGACCCCGUGAACCUUUACUAUAGCUUGACACUGAACACUGGUCCUUGAUGUGUAGGAUAGGUGGGAGGCUUUGAAGCGUGGACGCCAGUCUGCGUGGAGCCAUCCUUGAAAUACCACCCUUUAAUGGCUGGUGUUCUAACGUAGACCCGUAAUCCGGGUUGCGGACAGUGUCUGGUGGGUAGUUUGACUGGGGCGGUCUCCUCCCAAAGAGUAACGGAGGAGCACGAAGG